rnacentral:rRNA from 1 species
GACGAACGCUGGCGGCGUGCCUAAUACAUGCAAGUAGAACGCACAGUUUAUACCGUAGCUUGCUACACCAUAAACUGUGAGUUGCGAACGGGUGAGUAACGCGUAGGUAACCUGCCUGGUAGCGGGGGAUAACUAUUGGAAACGAUAGCUAAUACCGCAUAAUAUUGAUUAUUGCAUGAUAAUUGAUUGAAAGAUGCUAUUGCAUCACUACCAGAUGGACCUGCGUUGUAUUAGCUAGUAGGUGAGGUAACGGCUCACCUAGGCGACGAUACAUAGCCGACCUGAGAGGGUGAUCGGCCACACUGGGACUGGGACACGGCCCAGACUCCUACGGGAGGCAGCAGUAGGGAAUCUUCGGCAAUGGACGAAAGUCUGACCGAGCAACGCCGCGUGAGUGAAGAAGGUUUUCGGAUCGUAAAGCUCUGUUGUAAGAGAAGAACGGGUGUGAGAGUGGAAAGUUCACACUGUGACGGUAUCUUACCAGAAAGAGACGGCUAACUACGUG